rnacentral:snRNA from 1 species
GUUCUUGCUUCGGCAAUACACAUACUAAAAUUGGAAUGAUACAGAGAAGAUUAGCAAGGCUCCUGUGCAAGGAUGACACAUAAAUUUGUAAAGCGUUCCAUAUUUUU